AUCCUUCAGUUCAUCAGCAUGAUGACUGGGUGUUCAUGCCGUAUGCAUGAGAUGUGUCUCCCUCAAUCCUCAUUACGCCGUGGGCCCAUUACCUGUCUGAUG
rfam:Cavia porcellus supercont2_325 genomic scaffold, whole genome shotgun sequence.